GUUUAUUUAUUUUGUGCAGUGUUGAGGUGUUGAAGGGUGCAAUACACAAUGCUGUCAAGGUGCCCACAGACAAACAGGCACAGGUGGAGGGGUGUCUCAACAUGCCAGCCACUUACAACACUGUGGUGGCGCGGACACAGUUAGCACAGCAGUUUUACGAGCACGCUAGUGAGGUCACCAGAACGUGUCGCCAACUUGUUCACGACCAGCAUCUGCAGCAACAAGGCUGGGCAGCAGUGGUGGCCAACUUGGAGGACAUUGUGGCAGCCUUCAGAACAAGACAUGACGCAUUCCAGCAAAAUUUUGUGGAGUAUCUCAGUGGCCCGGAGGAGAAGGUCGCCCUGCUUCAGUCUUUUGAAGAGGACCUUAAGCUACUGGCAAGGAUUCCAGUCUUCCCUGAACUCUUGGGGAAGACACAAGAGGAAGAGGAAGAGGAAGAAGCUGGGAAGAAGAGGAGGACAAGCACAGCACAGAAGAAAGAGGAGGAGGAAGAGAAGGAAGAGGAGGAGAAGGAGGAGGAGGAAGAGGAGGAAGAGCAGGAGGAGGAGAAAAGAGGAGGAGAAGGAGGAAAAAGAGAAAUGAGGCAAGUGUUGCUGCUGGACUGGAUCAGCGCCAAGGACAGCCAAAGUGACGUCAGAUUGCCCAACUCUGCUGCAGGGGACUGGCUCAGUUUUGAAGAAGAGGAGGAGGAAGAGGAAGAGGAAGGAGGAGGAGGAGGAGGAGGAGGAGGGUUAGGUGUGGCCCUCCCUCCCCCUCCCACACCACUGCAGUCCCAGCCUCUGAUUGGCCAGCCCUCAGCCAAUCAGGAGAGAGACUUUAUGGCCUUGCAGGUGGAGGAAGGCCGAAGGGAACUGGAGGAGGAGAGAAAGAGGCACAGGCUGGAGGUUGAAAACAAAAGGUCUAGAUUUAGAAUGAUGACAACGACCACAGCCACCACCAGCACCUCCCCCACUAGUCUGCCUUUCUCUUCAAGUCCCAGCGAGGAGCACCCGCCCUCCUCCCCAGCCUCCUCUCUCAACAGAUGGGAGGGCCUGGACAGACUGAGAGAGGAACUGAUGAAAGAGAGAGAGAUAGAGAUUGAAGAGAGAAUUGCAAGUGUAAGAGAGGAAGAAAGGAGGAAAUUAGAUGACGAAAAACAGAUGGAGUUUGCAGAAGCAGUGAAAGCUUUGGCGCAGGACAAGGAAAGGGUUAUUGAAGAUUUGAAGAUUAGGAUUCAGCUUCUAACAGAUGAGUGUGACAGAAGAAGAGGAGGAGGAGGAGGAAGGGAAAAAUGUUGGAGGACAUAUUGCAAGAAAAUGUUGAAUUGAAGAAUCAGAUCACCUCACUGCAGAAAAAAGUCAGAAAUUUGGAAACUGAACUGGCAAGAGCAAAACGGUUUUCAUUUGUGAUGCAGCAGAGCACCACCACCACCACCGCCACCACCGCCACCGCUGCUGCUGCUGCCCACCGACAUGACGGCCUCCACAGCCUCAACGACUGUUAAUGAAGACACAAGAGAGAAUUUGCCUAACCAAGUGUUGCAGGAAGGUGUCUCCUCACAACACUUGCAUUUCCUACACUCUGAUGCUUACAACUUGCUGGGAUUCACCAAAGAAGCAGUUGGCCAAAAUAAUAAUGUCAGAAGUAAGACAAAGCUUUGAAGAAAGAACAUCUGUCAUAAAGUGUUACUGGAGGCACGAAAAUGUCAAAGAAGUGCAAAGACAAUUCAGAAGACACUUUGACAGGGAUCCACCCAGGUGACGCACCAUUGCUCGCAUCACAGCUAAAUUUGCAUCAACCAGCAGCAGCAGCAGCAACAGAUUGUCAGUAGUAGCAGGAGUAGUGAAUGGUCACUCGUAUGUGGGGACUACUUGGACUAUCAGGCCGCCCUUGUAGUGUGCUGGACUAUUGGUCAACAAGGAGCCCUGAAAGUUACGUGGUACAACUAUUUCGGCGAUAGUAAUGGCUGUAAGUAGUAGUAGUAGUUGUAGUAAUAGUAGUAGUAAUAGUAGUUAUGCGUGUAAUGUCAAUAUGGUCCAUUUUGUAACUGUAAUUGGAAAAAUUCUCGACUUUGUGUUUCUUAAAGGCGUGACGUAAUUAGAGAAAACGUAUGUAUUUUAAGGGACACUAGCCUGUACUUCAUUAUUCCUGUUUAUUGCUAUUAUAGGAGUUUCUUGAUAGUUUUACUUGUAUAUACUAUUUAAAUCUACUAUUCAAUUUAUUAUGUGUAAGUGGGAGAUGUCAGAGAAAAAGCCAUAUUUAUAAUUUUCAUUUGUAAGGUCAAUAAGGUCCAUUUUAUUAAGUAAAUUUAUAAGAUGCUCGACCUUAUGUUUCUUAAAUGAGUGACGUAAUUAGAGAAAACGUGUGUCUUUUAAGGAACACUAACCUAUACUUCGUUAAUGUGGUUAUUGUUGUUAUACGAGUUUUGCGGUGUAUAUACUAUUUAAA